GACUGACUCUAUCAUUGAUUGGAACGCUUGCCUUCGUUGAUGGACGCCAUUCUCAUUGACUCCGCUUCCGGGCAGUUCCAUCCGGGCAUUCUCGUCUGCUCUAUCGCCGCCUGAGAACACCACAAACGAAAGAUGGAAAUAUUAUUAAACGACCCAAGCAUCAGAUCUUUGAUACUUUGUACGACACGGCAAUUGUAAAGAAAUCGUGUCCAAAGUAUAGCUGAUACAGAUUCGCAAAUAAUAAUAUGCGAGCUAUGGAAAAUGAUUAUAGACAAAUUUCACUGAGGAAAAAUUCAUGCCAGGAGAUAUCCUCAGGCCAUGUGAAGCGUGAAAAGAUACGAAAUCAUAGGAGUAUCGAUACAGGUGCACGCGUGCUACACUUACCGAGCUAUUAGGAUUCUUGGUCAUGAAGAUCAUGAGGGAGCGGCUGCGGUUGCUAAACGGCCUUAACUCCGGAUCUCGGCCAGGACCAUCCACCGUGUCGACGCAAUUACUGUUGGCACAGAAAUAACGUCGAAUGUGAAAUUUGCGCAUUCAUCAACCGCCAUGCAAGAUUUAUGAAAUGAACGAGAAUUAGCUUUUUUAUAAUUCAUCUAAAUAUCAACCAUGUCUAAGUCAUCAAUCUGCUUUAAUUAUCACUUUCAUCAUUCCAGGCGAGAGGAAGAUAAGAAAGGAAGGCUAUAAAUAAACAGACGAAGAAAAAUUCAUAAUGAUAAAAGAGGAAACUACCAUACCUCGACCGUAAUUCCUUUUGCUUUCGCUUACAGUGGAUGUAAGCCGCUAUGCAAAUGAUAACGACCAGGAAUACUGCUAUCGUGGCACCACCGGCGAUGCUGGCUGUCUCCAACAUUACACGUUGCCGGGAAGCUGUAACAAAAACGUCACUUUCCUAGUCACCGGACACGGCUUCUUGUCCCUUUGGACUGCCUGUAACACGCGUUGCAGAUUGAACAAGCCAGUUCGUUGAAUUUACAUUGUACCCAGUGCAUUAUAGUCGGCUCUUGCUAUGUAGCAUGACUCUAGAAUGGAAUAAAACUAUCUGGUCGCGGCGACCAGGAAUACAACA